GGGCGGUUAGCUCAGUGGUUAGAGCGCUGCGUUGACAUCGCAGAGGUCACCGGUUCAAGUCCAGUACCGCCCA
rfam:Chloroflexi bacterium RBG_19FT_COMBO_48_23 rbg_19ft_combo_scaffold_22539, whole genome shotgun sequence.